rnacentral:rRNA from 1 species
UACGGAGGAUGCGAGCGUUAUCCGGAUUUAUUGGGUUUGAAGGGUGCGUAGGCGGGCUUUUAAGUCAGCGGUAAAAAUUCGGGGCUCAACCCCGUCCGGCCGUUGAAACUGGGGGCCUUGAGUGGGCGAGAAGAAGGCGGAAUGCGUGGUGUAGCGGUGAAAUGCAUAGAUAUCACGCAGAACCCCGAUUGCGAAGGCAGCCUUCCGGCGCCCUACUGACGCUGAGGCACGAAAGUGCGGGGAUCGAACAGG